ACUCCUACGGGAGGCAGCAGUGGGGAAUAUUGGACAAUGGGCGAAAGCCUGAUCCAGCCAUGCCGCGUGUGUGAAGAAGGUCUUCGGAUUGUAAAGCACUUUAAGUUGGGAGGAAGGGCAUUAACCUAAUACGUUAGUGUUUGACGUUACCGACAGAAUAAGCACCGGCUAACUCUGUGCCAGCAGCCGCGGUAAUACAGAGGGUGCAAGCGUUAAUCGGAAUUACUGGGCGUAAAGCGCGCGUAGGUGGUUUGUUAAGUUGGAUGUGAAAUCCCCGGGCUCAACCUGGGAACUGCAUUCAAAACUGACUGACUAGAGUAUGGUAGAGGGUGGUGGAAUUUCCUGUGUAGCGGUGAAAUGCGUAGAUAUAGGAAGGAACACCAGUGGCGAAGGCGACCACCUGGACUAAUACUGACACUGAGGUGCGAAAGCGUGGGAGCAAACAGGAUUAGAUACCCUGGUAGGAAAGCG
rnacentral:rRNA from 1 species